rnacentral:rRNA from 1 species
UGGGGAAUUUUGGACAAUGGGGGAAACCCUGAUCCAGCCAUCCCGCGUGUGCGAUGAAGGCCUUCGGGUUGUAAAGCACUUUUGGCAGGAAAGAAACGUCGCGGGUUAAUACCCCGCGAAACUGACGGUACCUGCAGAAUAAGCACCGGCUAACUACGUGCCAGCAGCCGCGGUAAUACGUAGGGUGCAAGCGUUAAUUGGAAUUACUGGGUGUAAAGCGUGCGCAGGCGGUUCGGAAAGAAAGAUGUGAAAUCCCAGAGCUUAACUUUGGAACUGCAUUUUUAACUACCGGGCUAGAGUGUGUCAGAGGGAGGUGGAAUUCCGCGUGUAGCAGUGAAAUGCGUAGAUAUGCGGAGGAACACCGAUGGCGAAGGCAGCCUCCUGGGAUAACACUGACGCUCAUGCACGAAAGCGUGGGGAGCAAACAGGAUUAGAUACCCUGGUAGUCCACGCCCUAAACGAUGUCAACUAGCUGUUGGGGGCCUUCGGGCCUUGGUAGCGCAGCUAACGCGUGAAGUUGACCGCCUGGGGAGUACGGUCGCAAGAUUAAAACUCAAAGGAAUUGACGGGGUCAUAGCUGUUUCCUG